rnacentral:rRNA from 1 species
GGUUAAGCGACUAAGCGUACACGGUGGAUGCCCUGGCAGUCAGAGGCGAUGAAGGACGUGCUAAUCUGCGAUAAGCGUCGGUAAGGUGAUAUGAACCGUUAUAACCGGCGAUUUCCGAAUGGGGAAACCCAGUGUGAUUCGUCACACUAUCAUUAACUGAAUCCAUAGGUUAAUGAGGCGAACCGGGGGAACUGAAACAUCUAAGUACCCCGAGGAAAAGAAAUCAACCGAGAUUCCCCCAGUAGCGGCGAGCGAACGGGGAGCAGCCCAGAGCCUGAAUCAGUGUGUGUGUUAGUGGAAGCGUCUGGAAAGGCGCGCGAUACAGGGUGACAGCCCCGUACACAAAAAUGCACAUGCUGUGAGCUCGAUGAGUAGGGCGGGACACGUGGUAUCCUGUCUGAAUAUGGGGGGACCAUCCUCCAAGGCUAAAUACUCCUGACUGACCGAUAGUGAACCAGUACCGUGAGGGAAAGGCGAAAAGAACCCCGGCGAGGGGAGUGAAAAAGAACCUGAAACCGUGUACGUACAAGCAGUGGGAGCACAGAGCAAUCUGUGUGACUGCGUACCUUUUGUAUAAUGGGUCAGCGACUUAUAUUCUGUAGCAAGGUUAACCGAAUAGGGGAGCCGAAGGGAAACCGAGUCUUAACUGGGCGUUAAGUUGCAGGGUAUAGACCCGAAACCCGGUGAUCUAGCCAUGGGCAGGUUGAAGGUUGGGUAACACUAACUGGAGGACCGAACCGACUAAUGUUGAAAAAUUAGCGGAUGACUUGUGGCUGGGGGUGAAAGGCCAAUCAAACCGGGAGAUAGCUGGUUCUCCCCGAAAGCUAUUUAGGUAGCGCCUCGUGAAUUCAUCUCCGGGGGUAGAGCACUGUUUCGGCAAGGGGGUCAUCCCGACUUACCAACCCGAUGCAAACUGCGAAUACCGGAGAAUGUUAUCACGGGAGACACACGGCGGGUGCUAACGUCCGUCGUGAAGAGGGAAACAACCCAGACCGCCAGCUAAGGUCCCAAAGUCAUGGUUAAGUGGGAAACGAUGUGGGAAGGCCCAGACAGCCAGGAUGUUGGCUUAGAAGCAGCCAUCAUUUAAAGAAAGCGUAAUAGCUCACUGGUCGAGUCGGCCUGCGCGGAAGAUGUAACGGGGCUAAACCAUGCACCGAAGCUGCGGCAGCGACGCUUAUGCGUUGUUGGGUAGGGGAGCGUUCUGUAAGCCUGCGAAGGUGUGCUGUGAGGCAUGCUGGAGGUAUCAGAAGUGCGAAUGCUGACAUAAGUAACGAUAAAGCGGGUGAAAAGCCCGCUCGCCGGAAGACCAAGGGUUCCUGUCCAACGUUAAUCGGGGCAGGGUGAGUCGACCCCUAAGGCGAGGCCGAAAGGCGUAGUCGAUGGGAAACAGGUUAAUAUUCCUGUACUUGGUGUUACUGCGAAGGGGGGACGGAGAAGGCUAUGUUGGCCGGGCGACGGUUGUCCCGGUUUAAGCGUGUAGGCUGGUUUUCCAGGCAAAUCCGGAAAAUCAAGGCUGAGGCGUGAUGACGAGGCACUACGGUGCUGAAGCAACAAAUGCCCUGCUUCCAGGAAAAGCCUCUAAGCAUCAGGUAACAUCAAAUCGUACCCCAAACCGACACAGGUGGUCAGGUAGAGAAUACCAAGGCGCUUGAGAGAACUCGGGUGAAGGAACUAGGCAAAAUGGUGCCGUAACUUCGGGAGAAGGCACGCUGAUAUGUAGGUGAAGUCCCUCGCGGAUGGAGCUGAAAUCAGUCGAAGAUACCAGCUGGCUGCAACUGUUUAUUAAAAACACAGCACUGUGCAAACACGAAAGUGGACGUAUACGGUGUGACGCCUGCCCGGUGCCGGAAGGUUAAUUGAUGGGGUCAGCGCAAGCGAAGCUCUUGAUCGAAGCCCCGGUAAACGGCGGCCGUAACUAUAACGGUCCUAAGGUAGCGAAAUUCCUUGUCGGGUAAGUUCCGACCUGCACGAAUGGCGUAAUGAUGGCCAGGCUGUCUCCACCCGAGACUCAGUGAAAUUGAACUCGCUGUGAAGAUGCAGUGUACCCGCGGCAAGACGGAAAGACCCCGUGAACCUUUACUAUAGCUUGACACUGAACAUUGAGCCUUGAUGUGUAGGAUAGGUGGGAGGCUUUGAAGUGUGGACGCCAGUCUGCAUGGAGCCGACCUUGAAAUACCACCCUUUAAUGUUUGAUGUUCUAACGUGGACCCGUAAUCCGGGUUGCGGACAGUGUCUGGUGGGUAGUUUGACUGGGGCGGUCUCCUCCUAAAGAGUAACGGAGGAGCACGAAGGUUGGCUAAUCCUGGUCGGACAUCAGGAGGUUAGUGCAAUGGCAUAAGCCAGCUUGACUGCGAGCGUGACGGCGCGAGCAGGUGCGAAAGCAGGUCAUAGUGAUCCGGUGGUUCUGAAUGGAAGGGCCAUCGCUCAACGGAUAAAAGGUACUCCGGGGAUAACAGGCUGAUACCGCCCAAGAGUUCAUAUCGACGGCGGUGUUUGGCACCUCGAUGUCGGCUCAUCACAUCCUGGGGCUGAAGUAGGUCCCAAGGGUAUGGCUGUUCGCCAUUUAAAGUGGUACGCGAGCUGGGUUUAGAACGUCGUGAGACAGUUCGGUCCCUAUCUGCCGUGGGCGCUGGAGAACUGAGGGGGGCUGCUCCUAGUACGAGAGGACCGGAGUGGACGCAUCACUGGUGUUCGGGUUGUCAUGCCAAUGGCACUGCCCGGUAGCUAAAUGCGGAAGAGAUAAGUGCUGAAAGCAUCUAAGCACGAAACUUGCCCCGAGAUGAGUUCUCCCUGACUCCUUGAGAGUCCUGAAGGAACGUUGAAGACGACGACGUUGAUAGGCCGGGUGUGUAAGCGCAGCGAUGCGUUGAGCUAACCGGUACUAAUGAACCGUGAGGCUUAACCUU